UCCAGGGUAGCCUAGUGGACAUGGCAUCUGCCCAGUAAGCGGAACACUGUGGGUUCGUUUCCAAUCCCUGGAC
rnacentral:tRNA from 1 species